ACCAUAACGGCUCCUGUUUGCCGGCAUCAAAAGUCAUGAUGAUGGGAUACUCACAUUUGCUUCCGGACGUGACUAGAGUUCAGGUUACUGGGAGUAUGACACAAUCGGAGGCUGAAUUCUCUCCUUUUUAACCAUUUGUGCCAAUGUAAAUAGCCUGACAUCCUUAGUGACUGACUCCUCUAUCGGAGGCAGGAUUUCUAGUGGAUGGAGUACUGGACAUGGAGUCCAGAAUGCUGAGUUUUAUUCCCUGCUCUGUGACUUCCCUUCUCUGUGCCUCAAUUUCCCCAUCUGCAAAAAGGAGAUAAUGCAGGGUGCUUUGCAAUCUGGAGAGCCUGAACAGCACAGACAGCCCUACGCCUUGACCUACCAACAUGCCUUAAAUCUGCUCUGAAGAGCAGUGCAGUCUCUGCACCUGUUCAACCCUUGGCCGUUCUGCUGAGGUUGCCGGCAGAGCCGGUGGAAAGGGUGAUGGCAGCAGUGCACCAAGAAAUGGACUGGGGCCAGGUCCACAUUACAAACUUCUGCCAGCAUAGCUAUGUCAUGUCGGAGUGUGACCUCUGACCGACAUAGGUGUGCCGACAAGGGUCACUACUAUAAAUGGGGUUAUACCAGCGAAAGCGCAGUUUUGCUGGUAUGAGCUGCAUCAACACUAGGAGUGCUUUGCUGGUGUACUAGAUCAGUACAGCUCUACCAGCAAAAUGUUCCUAGUGUACACACAGCCUCAGACUCACCCGAUAGCCAUCAGAUGGUAACAACUUUCUCACCGACUUAGGCUGACCCACUUGGCCUUAUCGGUACAGGCGGAGCCCAGUCCAGGGAGCUGACUCUGCAAGACUCAGGUGACAAUGGCAACAUAAUCUGAUGUUUUGUUUUGUUUUCAGCCCUGAAUAAUCUCACAACGAACCUGUUAAGGGCGGCAGAGAAAAUGUGCUGGGUGCCCCUGAGCAGCAGGAUGAGUUCGAAAACAAUUAGGAAAAGUCCAACCUUAUUGCCUCCGUCAAACUCCCAGUGUUCGAAGCACCAUGCCCUGAAGCUAAAUAAAGAUAAGAAAGCAAAAGCUUCUGCAAGCACCAAGGACUAG
rnacentral:lncRNA from 1 species